rnacentral:rRNA from 1 species
CAAGGCUUGACAUACACCGGAAAGCAUUAGAGAUAGUGCCCCCCUUGUGGUCGGUGUACAGGUGGUGCAUGGCUGUCGUCAGCUCGUGUCGUGAGAUGUUGGGUUAAGUCCCGCAACGAGCGCAACCCUUGUCCUGUGUUGCCAGCGUGCCCUUCGGGGUGACGGGGACUCACAGGAGACCGCCGGGGUCAACUCGGAGGAAGGUGGGGACGACGUCAAGUCAUCAUGCCCCUUAUGUCUUGGGCUGCACACGUGCUACAAUGGCCGGUACAAUGAGCUGCGAUACCGUGAGGUGGAGCGAAUCUCAAAAAGCCGGUCUCAGUUCGGAUUGGGGUCUGCAACUCGACCCCAUGAAGUCGGAGUUGCUAGUAAUCGCAGAUCAGCAUUGCUGCGGUGAAUA